GCCAGUGUACCGAAACGGUUAUAACGGCGCAGCCUUGAAAACUGAUGUGUUGCGGAAAACAUGACCUGCAGGUUCGAAUCCUGCCGCUGGCG
rnacentral:tRNA from 1 species